rnacentral:rRNA from 1 species
GGGACACGUGGUAUCCUGUCUGAAUAUGGGGGGACCAUCCUCCAAGGCUAAAUACUCCUGACUGACCGAUAGUGAACCAGUACCGUGAGGGAAAGGCGAAAAGAACCCCGGCGAGGGGAGUGAAAAAGAACCUGAAACCGUGUACGUACAAGCAGUGGGAGCACGCUUAGGCGUGUGACUGCGUACCUUUUGUAUAAUGGGUCAGCGACUUAUAUUCUGUAGCAAGGUUAACCGAAUAGGGGAGCCGAAGGGAAACCGAGUCUUAACUGGGCGUUAAGUUGCAGGGUAUAGACCCGAAACCCGGUGAUCUAGCCAUGGGCAGGUUGAAGGUUGGGUAACACUAACUGGAGGACCGAACCGACUAAUGUUGAAAAAUUAGCGGAUGACUUGUGGCUGGGGGUGAAAGGCCAAUCAAACCGGGAGAUAGCUGGUUCUCCCCGAAAGCUAUUUAGGUAGCGCCUCGUGAAUUCAUCUCCGGGGGUAGAGCACUGUUUCGGCAAGGGGGUCAUCCCGACUUACCAACCCGAUGCAAACUGCGAAUACCGGAGAAUGUUAUCACGGGAGACACACGGCGGGUGCUAACGUCCGUCGUGAAGAGGGAAACAACCCAGACCGCCAGCUAAGGUCCCAAAGUCAUGGUUAAGUGGGAAACGAUGUGGGAAGGCCCAGACAGCCAGGAUGUUGGCUUAGAAGCAGCCAUCAUUUAAAGAAAGCGUAAUAGCUCACUGGUCGAGUCGGCCUGCGCGGAAGAUGUAACGGGGCUAAACCAUGCACCGAAGCUGCGGCAGCGACGCUUAUGCGUUGUUGGGUAGGGGAGCGUUCUGUAAGCCUGCGAAGGUGUGCUGUGAGGCAUGCUGGAGGUAUCAGAAGUGCGAAUGCUGACAUAAGUAAC